CUGGAAUGUAUAUUGAAAAUAUUGUAGAAAAAAAUAAUAAUUGAAAACCAAAUUUUUAAAUAGAUGAUUUGGCAAAAACUCAUAGUUCCUACUUAGAACUCGAUUAAACUAGAAUUUAUCUUCAGUUUGUCUCAAGAAGUCAGUUUAUGUUUUGGAUUGAUUACCCCACUUACUUCCAUUAAAGGCUUAUCGGGAACUAAUAAAUAUUGGUUCAACAUUGAAACGAUACCUAUAUUUUAUGUUGAAAAUGUUGGCUUCCGUGAUUCGCUGCUGUUUAUUGGGAACAUUGUCACCGCCGGCCUCAAAUUCGACACUUAAUAGAGGUUGAUCUAUGCCUUUCUUUUACUAUUUUCCUGCAUAAAUGGUUAAACAAAGAAUUUGUGGGUCAAAAUGACUCGCACAUUAGUACAAGGAAGGAUGUAAACCUCCUUUAUGCCCCCACCUGCCAUGCCACAGGUGGAAGCAUGUC